UAGUUCAGUUGGUUAGAACACAGCGCUAAUAAUGCCAAGUUCGCAGGUUCAAUCCCUGC
rnacentral:tRNA from 1 species